rnacentral:lncRNA from 1 species
AUUAUCAGUUAAAAAAAAAAAAAAAACCAAGGCACAGGCAAAUUUUAAUUUUAAACAAAGAUAUACACAUGUAUGGAUAGAUAUUAAUUUUAUCAAAGAAAUUUAAGCAGACUGUACAUUUCAAAUGUGAUUCAGAUCACAGGUAUCUUUUGGUGUAUCCAUCCAUUGCAUAAAGUGAAGUUGAGUUAUAAAUAAAUUUCUAACUUGAGGUCAGCAUUUUAUUUUUCAAAUAUUUAUAAUAUGUGGUAGAUUUUUCUUCAAAUAAAAAUUGUUAUUAUUUAUAUUGUAGAAGUACUACAUGUAUGCGAUAAAAACAUUUUUUAAGCAAAAGAAUGAUACAAAAUUAAAAGCCUUCUUCCUCUCUUCCUUUACCGCCAUUCCCCAGAGACAGUCGCUAAUGGUUUAUAACUUUAAAUAUUUUAUUUAUACCUCAG